CAGUAGCCGCGGUAAUACGAAGGGUGCAAGCGUUACUCGGAAUUACUGGGCGUAAAGCGUGCGUAGGUGGUGGUUUAAGUCCGUUGUGAAAGCCCUGGGCUCAACCUGGGAAUUGCAGUGGAUACUGGGUCACUAGAGUGUGGUAGAGGAUAGUGGAAUUUCCGGUGUAGCAGUGAAAUGCGUAGAGAUCGGAAGGAACAUCUGUGGCGAAGGCGACUAUCUGGGCCAACACUGACACUGCGGCACGAAAGCGUGGGGAGCAAACAGGAUUAGAUACCCCUGUAGUCCCUGUCUCUUAUAA
rnacentral:rRNA from 1 species